GACGAAUGCUGGCUGCGUGCUUAACACAUGCAAGUCGAACGGUGAAGGAGAGCUUGCUCUCCGGAUCAGUGGCGAACGGGUGAGUAACACGUGGGCAACCUGCCCCUCACUCUGGGAUAACGCCGGGAAACCGGCGCUAAUACCGGAUACGACCAGGCGCGACAUCUCGCCUGGUGGAAAGAAUUUCGGUGAGGGAUGGGCCCGCGGCCUAUCAGCUUGUUGGUGGGGUAACGGCCCACCAAGGCGACGACGGGUAGCCGGCCUGAGAGGGCGACCGGCCACACUGGGACUGAGACACGGCCCAGACUCCUACGGGAGGCAGCAGUGGGGAAUAUUGCGCAAUGGGCGAAAGCCUGACGCAGCGACGCAGCGUGAGGGACGACGGCCUUCGGGUUGUAAACCUCUUUCAGUGGGGACGAAGCGAAAGUGACGGUACCCGCAGAAGAAGCACCGGCUAACUACGUGCCAGCCGCCGCCGUAA
rnacentral:rRNA from 1 species